rnacentral:rRNA from 1 species
UAAAGCGCACGCAGGCGGUCUGUCAAGUCGGAUGUGAAAUCCCCGGGCUCAACCUGGGAACUGCAUUCGAAACUGGCAGGCUAGAGUCUUGUAGAGGGGGGGAGAAUUCCAGGUGUAGCGGUGAAAUGCGUAGAGAUCUGGAGGAAUACCGGUGGCGAAGGCGGCCCCCUGGACAAAGACUGACGCUCAGGUGCGAAAGCGUGGGGAGCAAACAGGAUUAGAUACCCUGGUAGUCCACGCCGUAAACGAUGUCGAUUUGGAGGUUGUGCCCUUGAGGCGUGGCUUCCGGAGCUAACGCGUUAAAUCGACCGCCUGGGGAGUACGGCCGCAAGGUUAAAACUCAAAUGAAUUGACGGGGGCCCGCACAAGCGGUGGAGCAUGUGGUUUAAUUCGAUGCAACGCGAAGAACCUUACCUGGUCUUGACAUCCACAGAACUUAGCAGAGAUGGAUUGGUGCCUUCGGGAACUGUGAGACAGGUGCUGCAUG